rnacentral:rRNA from 1 species
AUUGAACGCUGGCGGCAGGCCUAACACAUGCAAGUCGAGCGAGCGGCGGCCGGGUGAGUAAUGUAUGGGGACUGCCCGAUAGCGGGGGAUAACUACUGGAAACGGUGGCUAAUACCGCAUACUAUCGGAUAACCCAUAUGGGAUUAGCUAGUAGGUGGGGUAAAGGCUCACUUAGGCGACGCUCCCUAGCUGGUCUGAGAGGAUGAUCAGCCACACUGGUACUGAGACACGGCCCAGACGCCUACGGAGGCAGGAGUGGGGAAGAUUUCACAAUGGGCGCAAGCCUGAGGCAGCCAUGCCGCGUGUAUGAAGAAGGCCUUAGGGUUGUAAAGUACUUGCAGCGGGGAGGCGUUACCCGCAGAAGAAGCACCGGCUAACUCCGUGCCAGCAGCCGCGGUAAUUC